rnacentral:rRNA from 1 species
CUCAGAACGAACGCUGGCGGCAUGCCUUACACAUGCAAGUCGAACGGCAGCACGGGAGCAAUCCUGGUGGCGAGUGGCGAACGGGUGAGUAAUAUAUCGGAACGUGCCCAGUCGUGGGGGAUAACGUAGCGAAAGCUACGCUAAUACCGCAUACGAUCUAUGGAUGAAAGCGGGGGAUCGCAAGACCUCGCGCGAUUGGAGCGGCCGAUAUCAGAUUAGGUAGUUGGUGAGGUAAAGGGCUCACCAAGCCGACGAUCUGUAGCUGGUCUGAGAGGACGACCAGCCACACUGGGACUGAGACACGGCCCAGACUCCUACGGGAGGCAGCAGUGGGGGAAUUUUGGACAAUGGGCGCAAGCCUGAUCCAGCAAUGCCGCGUGAGUGAUGAAGGCCUUCGGGUUGUAAAGCUCUUUUACUCGGGACGAUAAUGACGGUACCGAGAGAAUAAGCCCCGGCUAACUCCGUG